rnacentral:rRNA from 1 species
AUUGAACGCUGGCGGCAGGCCUAACACAUGCAAGUCGAACGGUAACAGGAAGCAGCUUGCUGCUUUGCUGACGAGUGGCGGACGGGUGAGUAAUGUCUGGGAAACUGCCUGAUGGAGGGGGAUAACUACUGGAAACGGUAGCUAAUACCGCAUAACGUCGCAAGACCAAAGAGGGGGACCUUCGGGCCUCUUGCCAUCGGAUUGCCCAGAUGGGAUUAGCUAGUAGGUGGGGUAACGGCUCACCUAGGCGACGAUCCCUAGCUGGUCUGAGAGGAUGACCAGCCACACUGGAACUGAGACACGGUCCAGACUCCUACGGGAGGCAGCAGUGGGGAAUAUUGCACAAUGGGCGCAAGCCUGAUGCAGCCAUGCCGCGUGUAUGAAGAAGGCCUUCGGGUUGUAAAGUACUUUCAGCGGGGAGGAAGGCGAUAAGGUUAAUAACCUUGUCGAUUGACGUUACCCGCAGAAGAAGCACCG